rnacentral:rRNA from 1 species
GGGUCAGUAGGUUGGUCGUGCCACCGGUACGUACUGGCCUCACUGAUUCCUCCUUCCUGAAGAACCGUAAUGCCGUUAAUUUGGUGUUGCGGGGAAACAGGACUGUUACUUUGAAAAAAUUAGAGUGUUUAAAGCAAGCUAACGCUUGAAUACAUUAGCAUGGAAUAAUGAAAUAGGACGAUCGAUCCUAUUUUGUUGGUUUCUAGGAUUGACGUA